rnacentral:misc_RNA from 1 species
GUGCCUGCGUGCGGGACACAUCCUCCAUUCCCUCGUCUUCUACACCGGCGCGGGGCAGGGCUCAUUGCGAGCGUCACCAACAGGAAAGAAGUCACCCACUGCGCCUUCACUCGGGUAGCGGGCACAGGAGCUUCUAGACAUGCCGACGCCCAUCGCGUGGCCGUGGCGUAGACGCAUCAGCCGGCACAGCGGGAAUGGCGAGCCCCGUGGACGCCAUCAAAGUGGACGUCGCUGUCAAGCUGAUUGGCGUUAUUGGGUGCAGUGCCUCCGGCAAGUCCACCGUCGCCCAUCAGCUGGCGAGCAGGCUUGACUCGCCGUUGCACCCAAUUUGCACAGACAGCUUCUUCUUCGAUGAUGUCUGUGCGCAACUGGGCACCUACGAGGACUACAGGUGCAUCGACUAUGGCGCUGUGGCACGGUGGAUGUCGGUGUUGGUGCACGCCGUGUCGACGGUGUCUGUGAGCCCACUGGAGGAGAGGUGCGCACCUGCUUCAUCACCCGCGGCGCGAGCCGCAAGCGCAGACGGCGAUACUGCCCUGCACCACCCCCCACACGACUUGGAAGGUCGGGUGCAUAACGCAUGGUGGGAAGAGGUGCUGCUGCACCUACCAGAGCUGGGCAAGUAUCGCCGUGCUGCGCCGGAUGCCACGUCUGCCACCACGGCUCCCACAACUGUCUUUGCUGCCGCUGCUGAUACUGCUACCCCUAUUGCCCAGUCCAGCAGCACGGUUGCUGAGGCAACACCCGCCGGCGCUCAUCCACAUGACGGGACUAGUGACAGCGAUGGAGACGCAUCGCUCGGCGCACACGAGGCUGAGGAAGAAGGCCGACGGCGGAGAAGUGUUGCCGCGUUCACACAGCGAAGAGAGGGGGGUGGCGGCACCGUGUGCUCGUCUCUUGAGCUUCGGAGUGGCAGCGAGGAGCAGGCGCCUCACGCCGGUGCUCCUUUCUGGCACCCCGUCAUCAUCUACGUUGUGUGGGAGGGUUUCCCACUCCUUUGCAAUCGCUUGGUCAACUCCUACAUUGACUACGCGAUCGACGUUCGCUGUGACCUGGAGACGGCGUGCUUGCGGCGGUUCUUCCGCACCCCGCGCCGCCAUCUUGCUCGAUAUCUCGCUCUCGACUCUGCAGGAGGCUGCCAGAAUGGACAAGAUGAGUCGCAGCUGGGGCUGCAGCGCGCGCGAGCCGCUGUCGUGGCGGGUGUCGUGCGUCAGGUCUACCGUCCACGCAUCGAGCAACUGUGGCGUGCUCGGUCGCGGGAGCAACUUCGCGCCGAUCUCACGAACGCCCUGGCGCAGGAAAUGCGACUGGAUGGCUUGCAGGCGCUCGCGCACGGCGACAGCCCCACUGCCACGUCUCCGCCGACGUGCAUUACGGCGCGCGAUGCCUUGGAUUUACUCUCCCCUUCCUGCUUUGAUCCGCCUCGUCCGCGUUGCCGGCGCCAACCGGCCCACUCUAGCGCCGCCAAGGCUAUGGGCGACGGCGGCAGUGGCACCCGCCUUCAGGGCGAGAGCUGUGGUGCUGAUGCUGCAGCGUCCACCAUAUCAAGCCCCAGCGCUUCGUCAGUGGCGGCCGCGGAGGAGGUUGGGCGUCGCUGUUCUGCGUGCUGGUCCGCUGACGGGUUGCCCACUAAUGCCUUUCAACUGUUUUGGGAAAGCGAGUUUGAUGAAUGGCUGGCGCGGUCGUCGUCGUCGCCGUCGGCCACCACUGCUGCUGCUGCUGCAGCCCUUGCCUGGGCCUCACUGAAGCACAGAGACGGUGAGGGCGCAGCUGCGCACGCCGCGCACCGCGUCGACGAACGGCAGCGCGACAUAAAUGGCAGCUUCCGCCGGACGUCGCCACCACGGGUGACACCGUCUAAUGAGGAGCCUGGGGUGGCGUAUGUGAAUCGCAUGCUUGCGCAACGCGGACGUCUUGCAUUGCUUCAGAGCUUGUCUUGCGGCGAGCGGGCAGUCGCGCCGUCUUCUCCAGAGGCGUUCAGCAUAGGCGGCAAGGGCGCUGCCUCAGCCGGGCUCGGCCUCGAACAGCAGCUGGCGGUGGGCGGAGUCCACAGCACAACGUCUCUGACUGCGGAGACGCUCUCGUCAGCGCUGGCGCCGUUCUACUACGAGUUCCGUUACUGGUACGUUUUCGAAGUUCUCUAUUACGAUCGAAUAUUCCGCCCACUGCAAGCCCACCGUCUGCGGUGGCGCUCCGUUGUGGGGGAGAGUAGUGCCGCGCCCACCGACGGCGAAGGCAAGAGUGGUGAGCUUGGCGGUUGUGGGGCCACUGAUGCACCAUGCGCUGUACCCCGUCGAUGGUGGGCAGUGAAGAACGGCCGUGAUGUGCACGGGCAGGACGCAGGCGAGCUCCUGACGCAGGUGGAUCACAUCAGUGCUGCCAUACGUGCCAUUCGCUAAGCUCUCUCCACCCCCUCUAUCUUUUCCGCCGUGCACACGCACACACGUGUGCGCCACGUGCGUGACUGUAUGGGGUGUGUCGAAGGAGAUAGUGGAAGGGUGCAGCGAGACGAGAGGCGAUGCCAUCAGCUUCACGGCAUGAGCCCCAAAACGCAAAGAAUAGCAUGCGCGAAC